GAUGCCUGAGCUGCACAUUUAUUCAUGUUUCACUCAGAGGCAACGAAGUUAACAUUUUUGCCAAUACUUGUGGUGAAAAAGUUGCAGAGAAGUGGUGUGGCCUCACGAAUGAAUGGUUUAAGAAGGAAGAUUGGUGAUUAAUACAUGUAUGUUUACAUAUUUACUAUAUACUAAUUCUCAGUUAACUGUUCAUCGGCUUAUGAACAGUGCCGGCUCGAGCCGAGCCGAAUCUGGGAAAUGACGAUUUUGCCCCCGACACCUGUCUACCUGCUCAGAACUACGUGUCUUCUUCGCUCCACAGAGAGAUUGAGAUCGGAAGUGGCCCAAGUGGGAACAGCUGCAUGUUCAGUCCCAGAUUCAAAUCAACGGCGGCCGGUUGGGAUGAAGAGUCGAUCUGUUUUUAGGUCCAAGACUCCACCCACCAAUUCAUCAAGAAGAAAGCGGAGAGCUCAGCGAAAGAGCCCGGUUUCAAUCCCAGUGGUUGCUCUUGACCUUGAUAGUGAAGAAACUACAAAAGAAGAGUGAGAAAGACAAGGUAGAGCCUGAAAUUGUUGUUGUGAAUGAAGAAAAGAAAACAGGAGAAGAUGAGAAGAAAGGUGAGAGGUCUGGUGCUUCGUGCUCAAGCUCGAAUCUUCCUUGCAUGGAUAAGCUCAGGGAUGAGCUUUCUUGAGAGAAUUGAGGUUGGGUACUUGCAUGUGAGGAUUCUCAGCAACAUUGGAAUGGUUUCAAGGUGGAGAGAUUCCUCUUGAGAUCGGAAAUAUGGGCAGCUUGGAAGAUGUGAGCAACUGAUCUUACACUGAGGAGUUGUGUUUAUUUGAGAAGAUAAAAAUGACUGCAGUAUCCAAAGAAAUUGACUGAGUGCAUAUCAAUGGUCAGGAAAAUGCAGAGGAGGAGGAUAUGGAUAACAAUGAUGAUCUCGCUGGAGAUGCCAUUGAAAGUGAUGACAAGGAAGAACAGGUACCAGCGGAACGGCCUCGCAAAACAUCAAAAUUUAUAGCAUCAGUGCCCCUGUGAUGGUUGAGUUGGAGGGUGAGACUGACCCACUUAAGAUUGCUAUGAAAGAGCUUCGUGAGCGGAAGAUACCCUUUACCAUCCGCCACUACCUGCCUGAUAGAAGCCCUGAUGACAGAUUGUAGCCAUCCAUCAAAAAGUUCUCACACACCAAAGUUUGAUUUCGUGUGUAAUGAAAAUUAUGCUAUGUAAUGUUAUGAAAUCAACGAUAUUCUUAUGUACACAAACAGUUACUUUUCUAAACAAUCUCCACCAAUAUAUAAUAAUUGCUUUUCCCCAUUA